rnacentral:rRNA from 1 species
CUACGGGUCGCACCAGUGAGGAAUAUUGCACAAUGGGGGGGACCCUGAUGCAGCAACGCCGCGUAGAGGAUGACGCAUUUCGGUGUGUAAACUCCUUUUAUAUGUCAAGAAAAUGACGGUAGCAUAUGAAUAAGCACCGGCUAACUCCGUGCCAGCAGCCGCGGUAAUACGGAGGGUGCAAGCGUUACUCGGAAUCACUGGGCGUAAAGGACGCGUAGGCGGGUUGGAAAGUCAGGUGUGAAAUCCUACAGCUUAACUGUAGAACUGCACUUGAAACUUCUAAUCUAGAGUAUGGGAGGGGGAGAUGGAAUUAGUGGUGUAGGGGUAAAAUCCGUAGAUAUCACUAGGAAUACCUAAAGCGAAGGCGAUCUCCUGGAACAUUACUGACGCUAAGGCGUGAAAGCGUGGGGAGCAAACAGGAUUAGAUACCCGUGUAGUC